rnacentral:rRNA from 1 species
CUGGACUAGAAUGUGAGGGAAUGUCGAGUAAUGCCGAUAGUCCGGGAAACCGGACCCAAAACAAGGUGCUGCAUGGCUGUCGUCAGCUCGUGUCGUGAGAUGUUGGGUUAAGUCCCGCAACGAGUGCAACCCUUAUCACUAGUUGCCAACACGUAAUGGUGGGAACUCUAGUGAGACUGCCUGGGUUAACCAGGAGGAAGGUGAGGAUGACGUCAAGUCCGCAUGGCCCUUAUGUCUGGGGCAACACACGUGCUACAAUGGUCGGUACAGAAGGCAGCGAAACCGCGAGGUGGAGCAAAUCCCAAAAACCGAUCUCAGUUCAGAUUGUAGUCUGCAACCCGGCUACAUGAAGACGGAAUUGCUAGUAAUGGCGGGUCAGCACACCGCCGUGAAUACGUUCCC